UCCUUGCCCCCGUUCCCUUUUUCCUCCUCCUCCUCUCCUCUUCUUCUCCAUCCCUUCCUCUUCUCUCUGCCCCCUCCGAGGGUGUUGUGAAUAAUCCUACUAAUCUGUGCCAUUCGACUAGGUUAAAGGCUCCCUCUUCUCCCUGUGGUUUGGUUCUUAAAAGCGUUUUCUUUCUUCUCUUUGUUUACUGCACAGGUGAUUCAAUCUCAUGGUAGAAAUAUCAGAAAGGAGAAGGAAAUCAGAUGAGAGCAAGCCAAGAGAGUAAUUGCGCCUCAUGAUCUUAAACCAGAAAGAACCACUUGUACCUUUUUGCAACGAAAACCAAACUAAAACCAACCCGCUGAACUCCUUUCCGUGAUAUUCAACAGGCUUAUUAUGAAACAUCAUCUUCAGUGCCUGCAGAGUGCUCCUGUGUAUCUAUGGACCUUGAUGUUUCUGUAAUCAUUCCCGCAUUGUUGGACAUUCAGGUGGUGCCUAGUUCUUUCCCUGUGUUUAAAAACAGCACUGUGUGCUCUGACGAGUGAAUCCUUCCCUCUCAAGCCAAAUCUCUGCUAGCGUCCUGGAUGGUCUCCUGAACUGUGGACUUGCCCAAUCUACAGAGGGGCGUUGCAAAGACUUUUCCUGUGUGUUCCCAAAAGGCCCCCUUCACAAGCGUUGUUCCGAUUUGCGCUCAUGCCACCCAGCACAGCUAGUAAAAAGAGUAUAGCCACUUCCCCUACCUUGUCUCCUGCUCACUGUAACUGGGGUGUGUCUGUGCGUGUGCGAGUGCGUGUGUGUGCCUGUGUGUGUGCGUGUGCGACUUGGCCAGCUUCAUGGGUUGCAAAGUGGUAAUUCACUGUCAUUGGUUGUUUUACUGGAACAGUGAGCACUGUUAAUCACUCCUUGCUCCAGUGCUCACUUCCUGUCCUUUUCCUCAUUGCCAGAAACGUAAGUCGCUGUCAUUGCAGGAAAACAACAACAACAAAUUUCACAAAGCAGACAAGUUAACAGAAGAAAGUUAAAAUCAUCAGUUGUCAAUUUUAAUGUCUACCCAUGUCUUCCUAAAACAUGUUCAUCUGCAGUUGUCUAGUAUUUUGAAGAACUACCUGAAACAUUUUGGCUUUUGGUCCAGUAUUUUUAUGCAUAUGUCAUUUAUGUAUAUUGAAAUGUACAUACUGUUUUUAUAGCUGCUCUUCAUGCAUAAAUAUGUGGGGUAUGUAUACAUGCGUACUCUUGAUGUUUAUUUCAUGUCAAUAAAGAUACUUUAAAAACA